rnacentral:rRNA from 1 species
AUUGAACGCUGGCGGCAUGCUUUACACAUGCAAGUCGAACGGCAGCGCGGGCUUCGGCCUGGCGGCGAGUGGCGAACGGGUGAGUAAUACAUCGGAACGUGCCCAGUAGUGGGGGAUAGCUCGGCGAAAGCCGGAUUAAUACCGCAUACGACCUGAGGGUGAAAGCGGGGGAUCUUCGGACCUCGCGCUAUUGGAGCGGCCGAUGGCAGAUUAGCUAGUUGGUGGGGUAAAGGCCUACCAAGGCGACGAUCUGUAGCUGGUCUGAGAGGACGACCAGCCACACUGGGACUGAGACACGGCCCAGACUCCUACGGGAGGCAGCAGUGGGGAAUUUUGGACAAAGGGCGAAAGCCUGAUCCAGCAAUGCCGCGUGUGUGAUGAAGGCCUUCGGGUCGUAAAGCACUUUUGGCGGGAACGAAAAGGACUGUGCCAAUACCACGGUUCGAUGACGGUACCCGCAGAAUAAGCACCGGCUAACUACGUG